AGAGUUUGAUCCUGGCUCAGGAUAAACGCUGGCGGCGCACAUAAGACAUGCAAGUCGAACGAACUUAACCAUUAGUUUACUAUUGGAGCGGUUAGUGGCGGACUGGUGAGUAACACGUAAGCAACCUGCCUAUCAGAGGGGAACAACAGUUAGAAAUGACUGCUAAUACCGCAUAUGCCUUAGAAUCACAUGGUUCAAAAGGGAAAGGAGCAAUCCGCUGAUAGAUGGGCUUGCGUCUGAUUAGCUAGUUGGUGGGGUAACGGCCUACCAAGGCGACGAUCAGUAGCCGAACUGAGAGGUUGAACGGCCACAUUGGGACUGAGAUACGGCCCAGACUCCUACGGGGAGCA
rnacentral:rRNA from 1 species